GGUGGUAUAGCUCAGUGGUAGAGUGCAUGCUUAACUUGCAAGAGGUCCUGGGUUCAAUUCCCAGCACCUCCA
rnacentral:tRNA from 1 species